rnacentral:rRNA from 1 species
AUUGAACGCUGGCGGCAGGCCUAACACAUGCAAGUCGAGCGGAAGAAGGGGGUUUGCUCCUGGAUGCAGGGGCGGAGGGGGGGGAAAUGCCUAGGAAUUGGCCGGGAAGUGGGGGAAAAGGUCCGGAAACGGGCGCUAAUACCGCAAACGUCCUGAGGGAGAAAUUGGGGGGGCUUGGGACGGCACGCUUACAGAGGAGCCUAGGUCGGAUUAGCUAGUUGGUGGGGUAAAGGCUUACCAAGGCGACGAACCGUAACUGGUCUGAGAGGAUGAUCAGUCACCCUGGAACUGAGACACGGUCCAGACUCCUACGGGAGGCAGCAGUGGGGAAUAUUGGACAAUGGGCGAAAGCCUGAUCCAGCCAUGCCGCGUGUGUGAAGAAGGUCUUCGGAUUGUAAAGCACUUUAAGUUGGGAGGAAGGGCAGUAAGUUAAUACCUUGCUGUUUUGACGUUACCAACAGAAUAAGCACCGGCUAACUUCGUG